rnacentral:rRNA from 1 species
AGGACGAACGCUUGCGGCGUGCCUAAGAAAUGCAAGUCGAGCGGAAGUAGCAAUACUUUAGCGGCGAACGGUCGCGUAACACGUAGCCAACCUGCCCAGAAGACCGGGACAACACUCCGAAAGGGGUGCUAAUACCGGAUGUGCCCAUUUUGCCACAUGGCUUAAUGAGUAAAUCAUUUAUGGCUUCUGGAGGGGGCUGCGGCCUAUCAGCUAGAUGGUGGGGUAAUGGCCUACCAUGGCGUCGACGGGUAGCUGGUCUGAGAGGAUGGUCAGCCGGACUGGGACUGAGAUACGGCCCAGACUCCUACGGGGGCAGCAAUUAGGAAUCUUGCGCAAUGGGGGCAACCCUGACGCAGCGACGCCGCGUGGAGGAUGACGGCCUUCGGGUUGUAAACUCCUUUUAUCGGGGAAGAAACAAUGACGGUACCCGAUGAAUAAGCCCGGCUAACUCCGCGCCAGCAGCCGC